GAGCGCUUACUACUUUAGUUCCCACUUGUAUCCAUAACUAUAAUUACAUUUCAUCUAAUUUCCGGUUUCACAAACCCAUGGGCUAUGUCUCAUCCCAGCAUCCUGAAUUUAAAGCUGUAAAGUUAUAUCCAUGGAAGAGAACAAAGUAGUUUUAAGGUACAUAGGGAUUUCUUUUGUCAUUGUAUGUAUACACGUUAUUUUCUGAUACAUUUUUCUUUUAUAGGUUACAAAUAGAGUGAAUUUAAUAAAUAUUGUUCUCGCUGUUUUGGUCAAAUAUUCUAACAUGUAGUUCACUCGAUAUUUUUACAAUAAACUUUAACCAAGUACCCUUUUAAUUUGCUCGGAAUAUUAUGACUAGUUUCCGAUGACAUUUUUACUUGUAAUAAAAGAAGAUUAUUUAGUUAAUAAAUCUUGUUAAUAAAUCUUGUCAAGUACGCGUUUUCUCAAAAAACUAUAUAGUAUAAAAAAGAAGAUUAUUUAGUUAAUAAAUCUUGUUAAUAAAUCUUGUCAAGUACGCGUUUUCUCAAAAAACUAUAUAGUGACACAACCUAACAUUAGUCAAUUGUUUGGUAAUAUAGAGAAGGAUUAAUAUUUAUUUAAAUUAUAAAGUUUGGACAAAUUCUAGUCUGUCCUAUGUGUUAAAAGAGAUCAUAUGGUUUCUGGAAUGAUAUUCAUCAUAUUAGGUUAUUCUUUGGAGAAGAAUUACACGCCUCUUUAUAGGCUAGGAGAUCACCCAAUAUAUAUGGAGAUCAAUUCUUGAUUUGUGGGAAUCUUCCUUCCAACACUCCCCUCAAGUUAUGUAACGGGGUUACCGAUACUCCUCGAAAAGAUUGAGAAUUUAUGGCCUUUGUCAAGAUGUCUGCUAAUUGAUCUUUUGACUUGACAUAGGGUAGUUCCACAAUUUUUGCUUCAAGUGUAUCCUUUAUGAAAUGUCGAUCAACCUUCACGUGCUUGGUCCGAUCAUGUUGAUUUGGGUUCUCUGAGAUGCUGAUAGUUGCAAAAGUCGACAUGGUUGAGGUGAUUUGAGAUCCAACUUUGUCAUGAGCUUCUUAAGCCAUAAUACAUAUGUCAGUCCACUUUUUAUCCCUCGAAAUUCUGCUUCAGCACUUGAAAGUGCUACCACCUUUUGCUUUUCACUCCUCCAUGCUAUAAGGUUACCUCCUACAAAGGUAAAGUAUCCUGUUUUGGACUUUCUGUCAUUUGGAUUUCCUGCUCAGUCUGCAUCAGUGUACCAUGUAUCUCCAAAUACUCAUGUUUCUUAAAUAAGACUCUAUGUCUUAUUGUUCCCUUCAAA